AGUUUGAUCCUGGCUCAGGAUGAACGCUGGCGGUCUGCUUAACACAUGCAAGUCGAACGGAGUGCUUCGGCACUUAGUGGCGGACGGGUGAGUAACGCGUGAGAAUCUGCCCUUAGGACGGGGACAACAGCUGGAAACGGCUGCUAAUACCCGAUGUGCCGAGAGGUGAAACAUUUUAUGGCCUGAGGAUGAGCUCGCGUCUGAUUAGCUAGUUGGUGGGGUAAGGGCCUACCAAGGCGACGAUCAGUAGCUGGUCUGAGAGGAUGAUCAGCCACACUGGGACUGAGACGCGGCCCAGACUCCUACGGGAGGCAGCAGUGGGGAAUUUUCCGCAAUGGGCGCAAGCCUGACGGAGCAAGACCGCGUGCGGGAGGACGGCCUAUUGGUUGUAAACCGCUUUUGAUAGGGAAGAAGCACUGACGGUACCUAUCGAAUCAGCAUCGGCUAACUCCGUGCCAGCAGCCGCGGUAAUACGGAGGAUGCAAGCGUUAUCCGGAAUUAUUGGGCGUAAAGCGUCCGUAGGUGGUUGUUCAAGUCUGCUGUUAAAGCGUGCGGCUUAACCGCAUACCAGCAGUGGAAACUGGGCGACUAGAGUGCGGUAGGGGUCAGGGGAAUUCCCAGUGUAGCGGUGAAAUGCGUAGAUAUUGGGAAGAACACCGGUGGCGAAAGCGCCUGACUGGACCUGCACUGACACUGAGGGACGAAAGCUAGGGGAGCGAAAGGGAUUAGAUACCCCUGUAGUCCUAGCCGUAAACGAUGGACACUAGGUGUUGCCCGUAUCGACCCGGGCAGUGCCGUAGCCNCGCGUUAAGUGUCCCGCCUGGGGAGUACGCUCGCAGAGUGAACUCAAGG
rnacentral:rRNA from 1 species